AGAGUUUGAUCAUGGCUCAGAACGAACGCUGGCGGCAGGCCUAACACAUGCAAGUCGAGCGCACCUUCGGGUGAGCGGCGGACGGGUUAGUAACGCGUGGGAACGUGCCCUUUUCUGCGGAAUAGCCACUGGAAACGGUGAGUAAUACCGCAUACGCCCUUCGGGGGAAAGAUUUAUCGGAGAAGGAUCGGCCCGCGUUAGAUUAGGUAGUUGGUGGGGUAAUGGCCUACCAAGCCUACGAUCUAUAGCUGGUUUGAGAGGAUGAUCAGCAACACUGGGACUGAGACACGGCCCAGACUCCUACGGGAGGCAGCAGUGGGGAAUCUUAGACAAUGGGGGCAACCCUGAUCUAGCCAUGCCGCGUGAGUGAUGAAGGCCUUAGGGUCGUAAAGCUCUUUCGCUGGGGAUGAUAAUGACAGUACCCAGUAAAGAAACCCCGGCUAACUCCGUGCCAGCAGCCGCGGUAAUACGGAGGGGGUUAGCGUUGUUCGGAAUUACUGGGCGUAAAGCGCACGUAGGCGGACUGGAAAGUUAGAGGUGAAAUCCCGGGGCUCAACCCCGGAACUGCCUUUAAAACUAUCAGUCUAGAGUUCGAGAGAGG
rnacentral:rRNA from 1 species